rnacentral:rRNA from 1 species
UACAGAGGGUGCGAGCGUUGUCCGGAAUCACUGGGCGUAAAGGGCGCGUAGGCGGCCUGGUAAGUAGGGGGUGAAAUCCUGCGGCUCAACCGCAGGGCUGCCUUCUAAACUGCCAGGCUGGAGCACGGUAGAGGCAGAUGGAAUUCCCGGUGUAGCGGUGGAAUGCGUAGAGAUCGGGAAGAACACCAGUGGCGAAGGCGGUCUGCUGGGCCGUUGCUGACGCUGAGGCGCGAUAGCGUGGGGAGCAAACAGG